UCAGAUUGAACGCUGGCGGCAGGCCUAACACCUGCAAGUCGAGCGGUAGAGAGAAGCUUGCUUUUCUUGAGAGCGGCGGACGGGUGAGUAAUGCCUAGGAAUCUGCCUGGUAGUGGGGGAUAACGUUCGGAAACGGACGCUAAUACCGCAUACGUCCUACGGGAGAAAGCAGGGGACCUUCGGGCCUUGCGCUAUCAGAUGAGCCUAGGUCGGAUUAGCUAGUUGGUGAGGUAAUGGCUCACCAAGGCGACGAUCCGUAACUGGUCUGAGAGGAUGAUCAGUCACACUGGAACUGAGACACGGUCCAGACUCCUACGGGAGGCAGCAGUGGGGAAUAUUGGACAAUGGGCGAAAGCCUGAUCCAGCCAUGCCGCGUGUGUGAAGAAGGUCUUCGGAUUGUAAAGCACUUUAAGUUGGGAGGAAGGGCAGUAAAUUAAUACUUUGCUGUUUUGACGUUACCGACAGAAUAAGCACCGGCUAACUCUGUGCCAGCAGCCGCGGUAAUACAGAGGGUGCAAGCGUUAAUCGGAAUUACUGGGCGUAAAGCGCGCGUAGGUGGUUUGUUAAGUUGGAUGUGAAAUCCCCGGGCUCAACCUGGGAACUGCAUUCAAAACUGACUGACUAGAGUAUGGUAGAGGGUGGUGGAAUUUCCUGUGUAGCGGUGAAAUGCGUAGAUAUAGGAAGGAACACCAGUGGCGAAGGCGACCACCUGGACUAAUACUGACACUGAGGUGCGAAAGCGUGGAGAGCAAACAGGAUUAGAUACCCUGGUAGUCCACGCCGUAAACGAUGUCAACUAGCCGUUGGAAGCCUUGAGCUUUUAGUGGCGCAGCUAACGCAUUAAGUUGACCGCCUGGGGAGUACGGCCGCAAGGUUAAAACUCAAAUGAAUUGACGGGGGCCCGCACAAGCGGUGGAGCAUGUGGUUUAAUUCGAAGCAAUGCGAAGAACCUUACCAGGCCUUGACAUCCAAUGAACUUUCUAGAGAUAGAUUGGUGCCUUCGGGAACAUUGAGACAGGUGCUGCAUGGCUGUCGUCAGCUCGUGUCGUGAGAUGUUGGGUUAAGUCCCGUAGCGAGCGCAACCCUUGUCCUUAGUUACCAGCACGUCAUGGUGGGCACUCUAAGGAGACUGCCGGUGACAAACCGGAGGAAGGUGGGGAUGACGUCAAGUCAUCAUGGCCCUUACGGCCUGGGCUACACACGUGCUACAAUGGUCGGUACAGAGGGUUGCCAAGCCGCGAGGUGGAGCUAAUCCCACAAAACCGAUCGUAGUCCGGAUCGCAGUCUGCAACUCGACUGCGUGAAGUCGGAAUCGCUAGUAAUCGCGAAUCAGAAUGUCGCGGUGAAUACGUUCCCGGGCCUUGUACACACCGCCCGUCA
rnacentral:rRNA from 1 species